rnacentral:rRNA from 1 species
UACGAAGGGGGCGAGCGUUGUUCGGAUUUACUGGGCGUAAAGCGCACGUAGGCGGAUUGUUAAGUCAGGGGUGAAAUCCUGGAGCUCAACUCCAGAACUGCCUUUGAUACUGAGGAUCUUGAGUUCGGGAGAGGUGAGUGGAACUGCGAGUGUAGAGGUGAAAUUCGUAGAUAUCGAGAGGAACACCGGUGGCGAAGGCGGCCAACUGGACGAAGACUGACGCUGAGACACGAAAGCGUGGGGAGCAAACAGG